rnacentral:siRNA from 1 species
CGCCUGUUUCCGAGGUUUACUGA